AACGAACGCUGGCGGCGUGCUUAACACAUGCAAGUCGAACGCGAAAGGGACUUCGGCCCUGAGUAAAGUGGCGCACGGGUGAGUAACGCGUAGAUAACCUGUCUUCAUGUCUGGAAUAAUACGCCGAAAGGGGUACUAAUACCGGAUAUUCUUGCUUUUCAUAAGUUAUGCAAGCAAAGGUGGCCUCUGCAUAUGCUACUGCAUGAAGAGGGGUCUGCGUACCAUUAGCUAGUAGGUGGGGUAAUGGCCUACCUAGGCGACGAUGGUUAGCGGGUCUGAGAGGAUGAUCCGCCACACUGGCACUGGAACACGGGCCAGACUCCUACGGGAGGCAGCAGUGAGGAAUAUUGCGCAAUGGGGGAAACCCUGACGCAGCGACGCCGCGUGAAUGAAGGAAGGCCUUCGGGUCGUAAAGCUCUGUCAAGAGGAAAGAAGUGUACAACGGCUAAUACCUGUUGUAUUUGACGGUACCUCUAAAGGAAGCACCGGCUAACUCCGUGCCAGCAGCAGC
rnacentral:rRNA from 1 species